rnacentral:rRNA from 1 species
GGUUUUUAUAUUUUAUUAAAAAUUUAACCUGCCAAUUGAAUUAAAUUUAAAAGGCCGCAGUAUUUUGACUGUGCUAAGGUAGCAUAAUCAUUAGAUUUAUAAUUGAAAUCUAGAAUGAAUGGUUUAAUGAAACAAAAUCUUUUUUAAUUUAAAUAAUUGAAUUUUUUUUUUUAGUUAAAAAACUAAAAUAUUUUUAUGGGACGAGAAGACCCUAUAGAAUUUUAUAUUUAUUAAAUUAAAUAAUAAUUUAUAAAUUAAUUAUAGUAUUUUACAAUAUUUUAUUGGGGUGAUAAAUAAAUUUAGUUAACUUUAAAUUUUUUAUCAAUAAUUUUUGUUAAAUUGAUCUUUUUUUAUUGAUUAAAAGUUUAAAUUACCUUAGGGAUAACAGCAUAAUUUUAUUAAGAAGUUCUUAUUUUUAAUAUUGUUUAUGACCUCGAUGUUGAAUUAAAUAAAAUUAUUAUAUGAAGAUAUAUAAAAAAUAAGUCUGUUCGACUUUUAAUUAUUUACAUGAUUUGAGUUCAAACCGGUGUAAG